rnacentral:rRNA from 1 species
AUUGGAGGGCAAGUCUGGUGCCAGCAGCCGCGGUAAUUCCAGCUCCAAUAGCGUAUAUUAAAGUUGUUGCAGUUAAAAAGCUCGUAGUUGAUUUUCUGUUAAUUUUUAUGUAUAAUAUUGCGAUAUUUACAUAAUAUUAACAUAAUUCACAUUACUUUACAGUAUGUGGAAUUUUACUUUGAGAAAAUUAGAGUGCUUAAAGCAGGCUAUUGCCUUGAAUACUCCAGCAUGGAAUAAUAUUAAGGAUUUUUAUUCUUCUUAUUGGUUCUAGAAUAAAAAUAAUGAUUAAUAGGAACAGUUGGGGGCAUUUGUAUUUAACAGUUAGAGGUGAAAUUYUUAGAUUUGUUAAAGACAAACUACUGCGAAAGCAUUUGCCAAGGAUGUUUUCAUUAAUCAAGAACGAAAGUUAGGGGAUCGAAGACGAUCAGAUACCGUCGUAGUCUUAACCAUAAACUAUGCCAACUAGAGAUUGGAGGUUGUUCCUUACUCCUUC